rnacentral:rRNA from 1 species
GACGAACGCUGGCGGCGUGCUUAACACAUGCAAGUCGAACGGGCCUUGUCCCCUUUUUUUGGGGGGUGGGGUUAGUGGCGAACGGGUGAGUAACGCGUGAGUAACCUGCCCCUCACUUCUGGAUAACCGCUUGAAAGGGUGGCUAAUACGGGGUGUUCUGGCCUGCUCGCAUGGGUGGGUUUGGAAAGAUUCGACCGGUUUUGGUUGUUUUGGUGGGGGAUGGGCUCGCGGCCUAUCAGCUUGUUGGUGGGGUGAUGGCCUGCCAAGGCUUUGACGGGUAGCCGGCCUGAGAGGGUGGGCGGUCACACUGGGACUGAGACACGGCCCAGACUCCUACGGGAGGCAGCAGUGGGGAAUAUUGCACAAUGGGCGCAAGCCUGAUGCAGCGACGCCGCGUGAGGGAUGGAGGCCUUCGGGUUGUGAACCUCUUUCGCCAGUGAAGAAGGUCCUGCUCUUUGUGGUGGGGUUGACGGUAGCUGGGUUAAUGAAGCGCCGGCUAACUACGUG